UCGCUCCGGUAGGUCGCUCUGGCUGGAGUGACUUGAGAUAGUCACUCUGGGCUGGUCGCUCCAGGGUCAUCUAAGACGAUUCGGAGUAACGAGAACGCGAGCGACUUCAUUUACUUGUCCACAAGUGAACUUUCUAGAACUCAUAGGGAGAGAGGUUUGAAGAUGGGAGCUCUUGGCCAAAAGAAACACAACUAGCACUCAAUUCAACAUCUAAUCCAACAUGAGCACACUCUCUUAUUACACUCUAGCUUCUCUAGGCCUAUCUCAACUCUUUUUGCCCUUACAUUCGUCAUCAAGCAUCCACACAUUCAAAUCAACCAACUCUCACAUUCAUUAAGCACAAAACAUCAGGUGGAUUCUUGCAAAUGGUCAAUUGGUCUAAAUCAUUUGGUUGGGUAGGGGAAGGCUGAUAAAGGAUAAGUUUAAUCCUUAAGUGUUG
rnacentral:lncRNA from 1 species